UAUAAGUGCAGUUGUGGAUUUCCGUAUUCAAUGUUUGACCGUUUGUCUUAUUUAAAAAAUAUGAUUAGUAUUUUUGUGAUAUUAGAUAAUAAAACAUGAAUAAACUUUAUGUGACUAUUUUUUAUUUUUUAUAAAAUUUUUAAAUAAGACGGACGUUCAAACAUUAGAUAUAAAAACUCACAACUGUACUUAUA
rfam:Oryza meridionalis cultivar OR44 (W2112) chromosome 8, whole genome shotgun sequence.